UACGAAGGGGCGUAGCGUUGCUCGGAAUCACUGGGCGUAAAGCGCGACGGUAGGCGGGUCCUUAAGUCAGGGGUGAAAUCCUGGAGCUCAAACUCCCAGGAACUCGCCUUUGAUACUGAGGAUCUCGAGUUCGGGAGAGGUGAGUGGAAACUGCGAGUGUAGAGGUGAAAUUCGUAGAUAUUCGCAAGAACACCAGUGGCGAAGGCGGCUCACUGGCCCGAU
rnacentral:rRNA from 1 species